rnacentral:rRNA from 1 species
CGGGCUUCGGCCUGGUGGCGAGUGGCGAACGGGUGAGUAAUAUAUCGGAACGUACCCAAGAGUGGGGGAUAACGUAGCGAAAGUUACGCUAAUACCGCAUACGAUCUACGGAUGAAAGCAGGGGACCGCAAGGCCUUGUGCUCCUGGAGCGGCCGAUAUCUGAUUAGCUAGUUGGUGAGGUAAAGGCUCACCAAGGCGACGAUCAGUAGCUGGUCUGAGAGGACGACCAGCCACACUGGAACUGAGACACGGUCCAGACUCCUACGGGAGGCAGCAGUGGGGAAUUUUGGACAAUGGGCGCAAGCCUGAUCCAGCAAUGCCGCGUGAGUGAAGAAGGCCUUCGGGUUGUAAAGCUCUUUUGUCAGGGAAGAAACGGUAGAGGCUAAUAUCCUUUGCUAAUGACGGUACCUGAAGAAUAAGCACCGGCUAACUACGUGCCAGCAGCCGCGGUAAUACGUAGGGUGCAAGCGUUAAUCGGAAUUACUGGGCGUAAAGCGUGCGCAGGCGGUUUUGUAAGUCUGUCGUGAAAGCCCCGGGCUCAACCUGGGAAUUGCGAUGGAGACUGCAAGGCUUGAAUCUGGCAGAGGGGGGUAGAAUUCCACGUGUAGCAGUGAAAUGCGUAGAGAUGUGGAGGAACACCGAUGGCGAAGGCAGCCCCCUGGGUCAAGAUUGACGCUCAUGCACGAAAGCGUGGGGAGCAAACAGGAUUAGAUACCCUGGUAGUCCACGCCCUAAACGAUGUCUACUAGUUGUCGGGUUUUAAUUAACUUGGUAACGCAGCUAACGCGUGAAGUAGACCGCCUGGGGAGUACGGUCGCAAGAUU